GCCUUGCGGCCGUACUCCCCAGGCGGGAUACUUAACGCGUUAGCUUACGACACCCACUCCGCUCAAAGCAGAGCUUUAAUAAAAAUUUUCAAGUUCCAAUUUUAAAUUUCUAAACAAUUAUGAAAUUAUAAAUUGUUUAGAAAUUAGUACUUAAAAAUUAAUCAUUCGCGCUCAGGGCUAUGCCCUGAGCGGAACGGGUAUCUAGUAUCCAUCGUUUACAGCGUGGACUACACGGGUAUCUAAUCCGUUUCGCUCCCCACGCUUUCGUGCCUCAGCGUCAAAACAUGGCCAGAAAGCUGCCUACGCCUUUGGUGUUCCUCUUGAUAUCAACGGAUUUCACCCCUACACCAAGAGUUCCGCUUUCCCCUCCAUGAUUCUAGUUUGCCAGUAUUAUUAGCGGGUCUCCAGUUAAGCCGGAGGAUUUCACUAAUAACUUAACAAACCGCCUACGCUACUCUUUACGCCCAAUGAUCCCGGAUAACGCUUGCACCCUACGUAUUACCGCGGCUGCUGGCACGUAGUUAGCAGGUGCUUAUUCUUACAGUUAAGUCAUUAUCUUCCUGUAUAAAAGAAGUUUACAACCCGAAGGCCUUCAUCCUUCACGCGGCGUCGCUGCGUCAGACUUUCGUCCAUUGCGCAAGAUUCCUGAUUGCUGCCUCCCGUAGGAGUCUGGGCCGUGUCGCAGUCCCAGUGUGGCUGACCAUCCUCUCAGACCAGCUAUCCGUUAUAGCCUUGGUGAGCCGUUACCUCACCAACAAGCUGAUAGACCGCAGAUCCAUCUCCAACCGCCUGAGCUUUAACCGUUCAAAAGCUUGCGCUCUGAGCGGUACUAUCAGGUAUUAAUCCGCCUUUCGGCGAGCUAUCCCUGUGUUGGAAGUAGGUAUCAACGUGUUACUCACCCGUUUGCCGCUCUCCGACUUGCGUCGGAGUCGCUCGACUUGCAUACUUAGGCACGCCGCCAGCGUU
rnacentral:rRNA from 1 species